rnacentral:lncRNA from 1 species
ACCGGGCUGGCAGGACGGCGGCGGCGACUGGCCCGCGGGCCGGCCCCGGCGCGAGGGGAGCGGCUGGGAGCGCCCCGUUUCUCACAGACCCCAACAUGGCGUCGGCCGCCACCGCCCGCGACGACAACACCUCCCGGCGCCGCGACGGCUCCGGGACCGCGGGAGGAAGCGCCCGGAAAGUUUCACGUCUCCCCUCCCGGCCCGCCAGGAGCCGGCGGACCACCCACUUGGGCUUCACCUACCCCGACGGCCGCAGGCGGCGGCGGCAGCGAAGGCGAAGGUCCGAUCCUCCUCGUCGCGGACGCAGGGCGCGGACUCUGCCGGUUCCCCGCCCGGGCCUUCCAGGGUGUGUGCGGUCCGCAGCCCCACUCAGCCGGCGCGAUCCAGACGCGGUGGGCGGGCCGGACUCCAGCGCAGCCUCUCGCAGCAUAUCUUCACCUUAUUCUCGCCUUGUCUCUGCUUUCCUACAAGAAAAGUCCUGACACACAUUCAACUUUCCCAGAAAUGGAGUACUGUGGAUAUAAAGAGAAAUAAAAAUACGUUCAUCAUGGAUUUGAAGACCAAAAUUAUCAUGGAAAUCUUCCACUGGGGGAUAAGGUUGGAGUGGAAAGAAAAUAUAGAGUGAACUCAUCUUGUUUAUUUGUAUAUCAAUUCCUUCAUUUAUUUACAAAUAUCUAUUGCCUGCUAUGAACUAAGUAUUGUUCCUAAAGUUGGGGAUGGCCUGGGGUAGGGCAGGUAGAAGAAACAGACAGAGUCCCUGUCUUCAUGGAGCUCAUAUUCUAGCAAGGAGAAAAAAGACUCCUUUUUUGUGGUGAGUACAAUAAAGGAAAUAAAGAUGAUAGGCAGCAUGAUGUCACAGGAAUCAAGAAUCAUUUGACAUACUUAGUUUGAAACAUCUAUUAGUUAUCUCACAUAGCAAUAUCAAGUCUAGAGUAAGGAGAGAGAUCAGGACUGAAAAUACAAAUUUGACCAUUGUCUACGAAGAGAUGGGGAAUGAGAGUAGAGUUAAGGGUGCUUGCAAGAAAAUUUUAAGAAUAAAAUCUUUCAAAAUCAAAGAUACAAAGAUGAACGAAUAUAAUCUGUCUGUUAUGAACUGAAUGUUUGUGUCACCCCCAAAUUCAUGUUAGAAUCCUAACCCCCAAAGUGAUAGAAUUAGGAGUUUGAGCCUUUGAGAGUUAAUGAGGUCAUGAGAAUGGAG